UUUUAACAGACCUUGUAGAUCUACUCAAAACAGUGGUACUGGAAAUAAAAUUAGGAGGAAUUAGUGCAUCAUCCUCAUGAAUUUGAGGAUCAGGAUGGCAAUGUGUGGAGGUGAAGGAAUAUAUGUACUAAAUGAUAGAUCAUCCUCCACCGAGGUAGGGGAAUCAAAAUGAAAAAUAGAUACAGUGAACAUAAUAGUGGCAAAAG
rnacentral:lncRNA from 1 species